UACGUAGGGGGCUAGCGUUGUCCGGAAUCAUUGGGAGUAAAGCGCGUGUAGGCGGUCCGGUAAGUCCGCUGUGAAAGUCGAGGGCUCAACCCUCGAAUGCCGGUGGAUACUGUCGGGCUAGAGUGCGGAAGAGGCGAGUGGAAUUCCUGGUGUAGCGGUGAAAUGCGCAGAUAUCAGGAGGAACACCUAUUGCGAAGGCAGCUCGCUGGGACGUAACUGACGCUGAGACGCGAAAGCGUGGGGAGCAAACAGG
rnacentral:rRNA from 1 species